GGGCUGGGAAAGACCGGUGCCAGCCGCCGCGGUAAUACCGGCAGCUCGAGUGGUCGUCGCUUUUAUUGGGCCUAAAACGUCCGUAGCCUGUUUGGUAAAUCUGUGGGUAAAUCAACCAGCUUAACUGGUUGAAUUCUGCAGAGACUGCCAGACUAGGGACCGGGAGAGGUGUGGGGUACUCUAGGGGUAGGGGUAAAAUCCUGUCAUCCUUAGAGGACCACCAGUUGCGAAGGCGCCACACUGGAACGGAUCCGACGGUCAGGGACGAAGCCUAGGGGCACGAACCGGAUUAGAUACCCGGGUAGUCCUAGGUGUAAACGCUGUGAACUUGGUGUCGGGAGUCCGCAAUGGGCCCCCGGUGCCGGAGUGAAGAUGUUAAGUUCACUGCCUGGGGAGUACGGUCGCAAGGCUGAAACUUAAAGGAAUUGCGGGGGGGAGCAC
rnacentral:rRNA from 1 species